GCCCACGUAGCACAGUGGUAGUGCGUCAGUCUCGUAAACUGAAGGUCGGGUGUUCGAACCACCCCGUGGGCA